GCUGAGGUCUAUCCUGAUGGGGCCUUCUCCAGAGACCUGCAUCGCUGGGAAGGCCUCGUACAGAAUACGUGUGGUCUCCGCUAUUCGCAGAACUAUGUGUUAGAUCUGUGGGAAGGAACUACAGGACUUCA
ensembl:snoRNA